CCAGCUGCUGCAGGGCUGUCUGUCCUGCUGCAGGGCUGUCCUGCUGCAGGGCUGUCCUACUGCAGGGUUGCCCUACAUUCUCUGGUGCUCUUCAGCCGUCUUUGUGGUUUCUCUUCAGAGCUCCACAGUGCUGUACUUGGAGCAAACGUUCACUGCAUUCCCACUGAGUACAGUAAAGCCAGGAAUUAAAGAAAGUUUUUCAUAGUGAUUUUCAGUCUGGAGUCCUGGUUCCUGUCAUUUAUGAGUUACUAACUAGGCCUGCUCUCUAGACAUGAAUACUUUGUGAGCACUUGGGUUUUGUAGUUACUUCAGUAGCAUGGCACAUGGAAAAAAGCAUUCUCCAAGGAUCCAUCCAUGUCAUCAGCACCAUAGCAGAUUGUCUGUGGGACUGGCUCAAGCUGGUCUGAGCUGGUGGCACUGCUGCCAGUGCACAGUUUGUGAGGAGAGAGAUCUGUCCUGGAGCUCCUGCAUGCUGCUGCAGUGGGGCCAGGCCAGCAUUGCUGCUGUGCUUCUGCAUGCUGCUGCAGUGGGGCCAGGGCAGCAUUGCUGCUGUGCUCUGAGGGCAGGGGAUCCAGCAGAGAGGCAGAACCGCCUCCCUCACCUCGCCUGCUGCAGAGGCAGCCCCGGGCCCUGGUGGUUCCUGCUCUGCCAGUGCUCGGCCACGUUGUGUUGGCCCAGGUUUGUUAUCCCUCGUCCCCGGGCUGCUCUCCAUCCGUGGAUUCCCCAGGUUUCUCUGGGUGCCAUCCCUCUCCUCCAGAGGAUGAAUUGCACCAACAGCUCAGAUGGGCAGCAGGCCCUGGAGGAGCGCUGCCCACAAACGGCUCCUUGCUGUUACCAAUUUACUGAGCAAGUACGUGUGGGGAAGAGGUCUGGUUCUGAAGGAAUCAGAAGUAACAAAAGAGACUGGCUGGUCACUCAGUACUUGUUGCAGUGGUUCAUUGUACUAAAAAUGCUGUGUCUUCUCAUUGGCACUUGUUUUAUUUCAGCCUCUGUAUCCCACACUGUUGAGUCCUGGUAACAGAAGUAGCUUAAGGGUAGCAGAAAUUUCUUCCUGCGUAUUUGAUUUGUAGUCAUAAUUAACUCCACACAUAAUUUGCUGUAUGAGCUAAAGAGGCCUGCUAGUGUCAGUCAAAACAGCUUUUUUUUUCUCUGUGGUGCAUUGUUCUUUGGUGACAUGUAUCAGUUGGUGCAUUUUUCACUUUUUAAGUCCAGGGGGAUGAACCAGGAACCAGCUGCAGUGUUCUGUGACAGUCUGGUUUAUGUAAGAUAUGAGGAUGACCUUGCUCUACUCUCACCUACUUCUUCUUGUCCUCAGCUCCCUCACUACACUGUUAAUAUUCACUUUUACCCUCUUAAGCACAUUUUUCAGUUGUUCUGCAAAUGCCUCUGAGAACUCAUUUCUUUUGUUUCUAGAAACUCAGCAGAGUUUAAGGCCAGACAGCACAUGAUGAACACAUUCUGAAACAUUGUGGUGUAUUUCACAGAACUACUCUAGCAGAUACCUUAAUAACUACAUUUUGUACAGUAACUUUUCCAGAAAGCUUGGGUUUAAUAUGCAGAUUCUCUUUGCAAUUGUUAUAUAAUUUCAUUAACAUUCUUGAUAAAGAUGUCAAAUAACUGCAGAGUAUGGGAUUCUCUAGGACAAAUCCUUAUUUACAAUUACUUAAUAUCAAGCAUUUAAUGUACUCCACCAAUGCUUGUAUAACAUGUGGGGCCAAAACCAAGGCCCUAGAGAAAUUUAUGAUGUCAACAGCUACUUUUACCAAAAUGGACUUGUAAUUAAUUAAAGAAUAAUAUUUACAGAAAAUUCUUCUCUGUGAAACCACAUUGGCUGGGUCUUACUUAUGAGGCCCUUGGAUGUCAGUUGUUGGUGUGUCUGGGAGACUAAGCUGUGCUUACACUCAUCACACAGUUUGUCUUUCUUUAAAUAUUGGCACACUUUAGUUUUGCUUUGGGGGCCUGGAGGGAUUUUUUGGAGGAGGAGAGAGAAUAUAUUUUGGUUUGGGAGUUGUUCUGUU
rnacentral:lncRNA from 1 species